rnacentral:rRNA from 1 species
AUUGAACGCUGGCGGCAUGCCUUACACAUGCAAGUCGAACGGCAGCGCGGACUUCGGUCUGGCGGCGAGUGGCGAACGGGUGAGUAAUGUAUCGGAACGUACCUUUCAGUGGGGGAUAACGUAGCGAAAGUUACGCUAAUACCGCAUAUUCUGUGCGCAGGAAAGCAGGGGAUCGCAAGACCUUGCGCCGAUAGAGCGGCCGAGAUCAGAUUAGCUAGUUGGUGGGGUAAAGGCCUACCAAGGCGACGAUCUGUAGCGGGUCUGAGAGGAUGAUCCGCCACACUGGAACUGAGACACGGUCCAGACUCCUACGGGAGGCAGCAGUGGGGAAUUUUGGACAAUGGGGGCAACCCUGAUCCAGCCAUGCCGCGUGAGUGAAGAAGGCCUUCGGGUUGUAAAGCUCUUUCGGCCGGGAAGAAAUCGCAUGGGUUAAUACCCUGUGCGGAUGACGGUACCGGCAUAAGAAGCACCGGCUAACUACGUGCCAGCAGCCGCAGUAAAAC